rnacentral:rRNA from 1 species
AUUGAACGCUGGCGGCAUGCUUUACACAUGCAAGUCGAACGGCAGCGGGGAGGAGCUUGCUUCUCUGCCGGCGAGUGGCGAACGGGUGAGUAAUACAUCGGAACGUGUCGAGAAGAGGGGGAUAACCACCCGAAAGGGUGGCUAAUACCGCAUAAAUUCUGAGGAAGAAAGCUGGGGACCUAGGAAUAGGCCUAGCGCUUUUUGAGCGGCCGAUGUCGGAUUAGCUAGUUGGUGAGGUAAAGGCUCACCAAGGCGAAGAUCUGUAGCGGGUCUGAGAGGAUGAUCCGCCACACUGGGACUGAGACACGGCCCAGACUCCUACGGGAGGCAGCAGUGGGGAAUUUUGGACAAAGGGGGCAACCCUGAUCCAGCCAUGCCGCGUGUAUGAAGAAGGCCUUAGGGUUGUAAAGUACUUUUGUUAGGGAAGAAAAGUCAGCUGUGAAUAAUGGCUGAUACUGACGGUACCUAAAGAAUAAGCACCGGCUAACUACGUG